UACGUAGGGGGCAAGCGUUAUCCGGAAUCAUUGGGCGUAAAGCGCGCGUAGGCGGCUCGAUCAGUCUGCUGUGAAAGUCAAAGGCUCAACCUUUGAAUGCCGGUGGAUACUGUCGAGCUAGAGUCCGGAAGAGGCGGGUGGAAUUCCUGGUGUAGCGGUGGAAUGCGCAGAUAUCAGGAGGAACACCAACGGCGAAGGCAGCCCGCUGGGACGGUACUGACGCUAAGGCGCGAAAGCGUGGGGAGCGAACAGG
rnacentral:rRNA from 1 species